rnacentral:snoRNA from 1 species
CCCCUCUCAGGGUCGCACCUGGGGAGUUUCCAGUACUCUACCAGUCUCGGCUAUGGGAGGGAGAGUCAAGCAGAGGCCUGUCCACUCUAUUCCUAGCUUGGGCAGUGGCUAGCGAGUGGAAGGCAAUCUGCUACAAGU